UACGGGGGGGGCAAGCGUUGUUCGGAAUUACUGGGCGUAAAGGGCUCGUAGGUGGCCAACUAAGUCAGACGUGAAAUCCCCAGGCUCAACUUGGGAACUGCGUCUGAUACUGGAUGGCUUGAAUUCGGGAGAGGGAUGCAGAAUUCCAGGUGUAGCGGUGAAAUGCGUAGAUAUCUGGAGGAAUACCGGUGGCGAAGGCGGCAUCCUGGACCAUUACUGACGCUGAGGCGCGAAAGCUAGGGGAGCAAACGGG
rnacentral:rRNA from 1 species